rnacentral:rRNA from 1 species
AUGGAAAAUGCCUGCACAAGCCUCAACCAGGUGGCCCGCUCGGCACGGCUGCUCAACAUCGACGGCUUCAGCCUGACCGCAGGCAUGGGCGGCGACUACUGCCUCAAGUCCAUAUGGACUGUCGAUGGGUACGAGCUGGAAGUCCUUAACUAUCCGGGCACCACAUGGGUGGCUCUGAAACUCGUCUUCCUCAGCGAAGCCCGCACACAGUGGGGCGUGAGGGCGAGCAUGGCCUGUCAGCUGGUGGAUCUCAGCAGGGAGCUUGAGCCGUAUCAUGAGUACGGCGUGUCAGAAACCUUCCAUCACCCCCAAGACUUCGGGGCACUGGUCUUCAUGGACAGAAAUAAGAUACCAUCCGGUUAUAUCAAGGAUGAUAUGUUGACUCUGCGAUGCGCGAUCAUGGUACUCAGGGAGUUACCAGUGCCAACCAUCCCAGCUGAAGAAGUGGUCGCACCACCAUCCACCAACUUGCACCAGCACCUCGGCGAACUCCUGCAGAGCGAGAUGGGAGCCGAUGUCACUUUUCUUGCGUGCGACGAGUCGUUUGCUGCACACAGGUACAUACUUGCCGCAAGGUCUCCGGUUUUCAAGGCCCGGUUCUUCGGAGACAUGAAGGACAAGUGCUCAGCACGCGUGGAGAUCAAGGACAUGGAGGCGGCGGCAUUCAGCGCCAUGCUGCACUUCAUCUACACUGACACGGUGCCUGAUCUUGACCGACCGCUCGAGGAGGUGACGACGAUGGCUCAACAUUUGCUUGUGGCCGCUGACAUGUAUGGGCUUGAGAGGCUCAAGCUGAUUUGUGAAAUAAAGCUCUCUGGUGGCAUCACUGUCGACGCCGCAGCGACCACUCUUGCUUUGGCGGAGCAGCACAGUUGCUUGAAGCUCAAGGCCAAAUGUCUCGAGUUUAUCGUCAGCACGCCUGCUGUUCUUGAGGCGUGCUGGCGACAAAUGGGUAUAAGCACCUUGAAGAAAGCUGCCCUUUGGUCCUCACCGAGCUUCUCAAGUCUACCCAUAUAUUCCACAGGAUAG